AUGUAAAACAACACAAUCUUGUAGCAAAUUUACACGUUAAAUUUAAAACGGUGUUGCGUAUUUGAAGAGACAAUAUCCUAAACGUUAUCAUAUUAAUAUUAUUUUUGUUAUUUUUCCGUCAAACACCAUUUUUAUUAAGUUAUCGAAAAGAUACUAUCCGUUAGAGAAAACUAUUAAGGAACCGACGUGCUUACAUGAGAGAAAAUAACAUUUUCAGUUUUAACUUUUUUGGCUAAAAGGUCUACUCGAGUGUUAAAUUUUUGAGAAAAAAAUCUAAUACGAAAAAAAGAAAAAUAAACAAUAAAACACCGAAAAAGAGGCGAAUUCCGCUGCAAAAGUUGGCUAAUCUUUUUGGUUAUCCAGAAGAGAUAUCAAAUCGGAGCAUAGUACUAUUAUUAA
rnacentral:sRNA from 1 species